rnacentral:tRNA from 1 species
UCCUCAUUAGUACAGUGGUGAGUAUCCCCGCCUGCCACGCGGGAGACCAGGGUUCGAUUCCCCGAUGAAGUU